rnacentral:rRNA from 1 species
GAUUGAACGCUGGCGGUAUGCUUAACACAUGCAAGUCGAACGGAAACGAUACUAGCUUGCUAGUAGGCGUCGAGUGGCGGACGGGUGAGUAACGCGUAGGAAUCUGCCUGAUAGUGGGGGAUAGCCCGAAGAAAUUCGGAUUAAUACCGCAUAAUCUAUUCGUAGUAAAGUGGGGGACUUUCGAGCCUCACGCUAUCAGAUGAGCCUGCGUAAGAUUAGCUUGUUGGUAGGGUAAAAGCCUACCAAGGCGACGAUCUUUAGCUGGUCUGAGAGGAUGAUCAGCCACAUCGGGACUGAGACACGGCCCGAACUCCUACGGGAGGCAGCAGUGGGGAAUAUUGGACAAUGGGGGCAACCCUGAUCCAGCAAUACCGCGUGUGUGAAGAAGGCCUGAGGGUUGUAAAGCACUUUCAAUUGUGAAGAAAAGUUAGCGGUUAAUAACCGUUAGCCUUGACGUUAACUUUAGAAGAAGCACCGGCUAACUCCGUGCCAGCAGCCGCGGUAAUACGGAGGGUGCAAGCGUUAAUCGGAAUUACUGGGCGUAAAGCGUGCGUAGGCGGUUUAUUAAGUCAGAUGUGAAAGCCCCGGGCUUAACCUGGGAACUGCAUUUGAAACUGGUCAACUAGAGUAUGGUAGAGGAAAGUGGAAUUUCUGGUGUAGCGGUGAAAUGCGUAGAUAUCAGAAGGAACAUCAAUGGCGAAGGCAGCUUUCUGGACCAAUACUGACGCUGAGGUACGAAAGCGUGGGUAGCAAACAGGAUUAGAUACCCUGGUAGUCCACGCCGUAAACGAUGAUAACUAGCCGUUGGGGGGAUUUACCCUUUAGUGGCGAAGCUAACGCGUUAAGUUAUCCGCCUGGGGAGUACGGCCGCAAGGUUAAAACUCAAAGGAAUUGACGGGGACCCGCACAAGCGGUGGAGCAUGUGGUUUAAUUCGAUGCAACGCGAAGAACCUUACCUGGUCUUGACAUCCUGCGAACUUUCUAGAAAUAGAUUGGUGCCUUCGGGAACGCAGUGACAGGUGCUGCAUGGCUGUCGUCAGCUCGUGUCGUGAGAUGUUGGGUUAAGUCCCGUAACGAGCGCAACCCCUAUCCUUAUUUGCCAGCACAUCAUGGUGGGAACUAUAAGGAGACUGCCGGUGAUAAACCGGAGGAAGGCGGGGACGACGUCAAGUCAUCAUGGCCCUUACGACCAGGGCUACACACGUGCUACAAUGGGAAGGACAAAGAGCCGCGAAGCCGCGAGGUGUAGCUAAUCUCAUAAACCUUUUCGUAGUCCGGAUUGGAGUCUGCAACUCGACUCCAUGAAGUCGGAAUCGCUAGUAAUCGUAGAUCAGAAUGCUACGGUGAAUACGUUCCCGGGUCUUGUACACACCGCCCGUCAAGGG